AGGGGGCAGUCUCCUGUUUUUUCGAUUUUUUUCUAAUUUUCCGCCGGCCGAACCUCGCCUCCGGCCAUCUCUGGCUCCACCGCCAUCGGUCACCGCUAUCGGACCUCUAACCGUGCCGCCGCACCUCAUCGAAGCAUGAGCCACCAAACCUCCCCCUCAUGUCCCUCCUCCGUUCGGCCAGGAAAAGAAAGAAAAAAAGAAGAGAAAGAAGAGAAAAGAAAGAAGAA
rnacentral:lncRNA from 1 species